rnacentral:rRNA from 1 species
GUGAGGAAUAUUGCGCAAUGGCCGAAAGGCUGACGCAGCGACGCCGCGUGGAGGAUGAAGUCCGUUAGGAUGUAAACUCCUUUUGCAGGGGAUGAAUAGUCCGCCUUGUGCGGAUCUGACCGUACCCUGCGAAUAAGGAUCGGCUAACUACGUGCCAGCAGCCGCGGUAAUACGUAGGAUCCGAGCGUUGUCCGGAAUUACUGGGUGUAAAGGGCGUGUAGGUGGGCUUGCAAGUCGGUGGUGAAAUCCUGCAGCUUAACUGCAGAAUGGCCUCCGAGACUGCAGGUCUUGAGUGCGGCAGAGGGAGAUGGAAUUCAUGGUGUAGCGGUGAAAUGUGUAGAUAUCAUGAAGAACACCGGUGGCGAAGGCGGUCUCCUGGUCCGUAACUGACACUGAGGCGCGAAAGCGUGGGGAGCAAACAGGAUUAGAAACCCGUGUAGUCC